rnacentral:lncRNA from 1 species
CUCUCGCCUGGCUGGCCGUGGGGGGCCUGGACGCAGUGGCCUCCCGAAUCUCCCAGGACCCUAAUAUCGCCCGAGGAUGCUGGGAGGAACGCUGAGCCGACCUCUCCGUUAGGCUGAAGAUUGCACAAACCAUGCUAAUGGCCAGCAUGGAUGGAGGGAGCGUGUGAGAUGUGUGGGGCAGCGUGCUGCAUCUCAGCCAACUCCAGGAGCCAGUUGAUGUGAUGGACUACCUUAAUUGAUUUUUGAAUGUUGAGCCAGCCUUAUGCAUGUGGGAUAAACCCCUGUUGAUCAUGGAGCUCCCAGGCCUCUACAGUUUGCUGGGUCCCAUUACUUUCUGAGACAGGAAGCAUGCUCAUGGCAAUACCCGGAGUCUCCACUGCAAGACCAGAGUGACGGAGGCAGCAGAGCUCCUCAGCAGGCCAGGAGUCUCCAGAGGCACUGCCGAAUGUCUAAGAAGCAACCUCAUUGUAUUCCCAAGACCUGGGAAUCCAGGUCUCGCAGAUACGAUGAUACAAUCUAUAGCCAGGACAUCUCUUCAUGUGUAGUUUUCAAUGAAUACUAGGAUAAGCAACUAUCCCAGUCUUCCCAGGAUUGAGGGGCUUCUCCAGAUGCUGCACUUCUGGUGCUAAAAAUGAGAAACUGAAAUGAAUUAGUCACCCAAGGAAUGCUGACCCUGUGCUAUAUGAUCACAUUUACUCUUUAAAGCAAUGCUUUGAGAACAAUUGAGCUGCAUAGUCCCUGCAAUCUUAUAAAGGCAUUUGGCCUGGA